UCCCAUUAGACGUAACUGCCGUAACAAUUAUAGAGAAACAAAGAGAGAGACAGCAGCGUGCGUGUGUUGUGUGAUUGUUCGGUGCCGAACUUUGAUAUUCUGUGAAGAACUUUGGUUUUAUAAUAAAAGAAAGAAAUGGAGAACAGACUUCUCAUUAUCAGUUGGUCACACACCACCAGUUGUAGACACAUCACCAAAGUAACGCUACACAGUGUACAAAUCCAGUGGUAAGCAGAGGAAAGUGUAACACUGAUACAAACAGACUCUGAAGUGUUGACCUACAUCACGACACCAAACCUACACUGGUGUUCAACUCACGGGAUAAGUUAUUCAAAUCGACCUCUGAAGGGAGCAAGUAGUAUUGAAACGAUUGCAACAGUGUCGUAGCCGUGCCCUACACACACACAAACACACACACACACACACACAGACACACACACGUCAAGCCCGCUCCACUGCAUAACAACUUCACCCAGUUUCUCUCAGCCGCGCCGCGACAGUCGUCACUGCAGAAUCCUCUACCACGCAUUCAUCGGAAACUCAGUCUCAGCCGCAGUUGAUCAAGUAACCCAUUACUCAGGAACUGUUUGAAACUGCAGAGAAGAGAAAAGAAACAAGAACGAAGAAAGAAGAACUGAUGCUAGCAGUUGCAGCAGCACACAGCCAGACAAACCGUCGCCAGCGUCACUGCCGCCGCUGCUGUUGACGCAGCCGCAACCGUCUGCUGAGUCUUCACCACUACCAACACCAGCCUGAGGACUACCUGCCUAUGCAUCAGAAAAAUAUUGUGGAGUGAAUGUGGAGAAAAGUGGUCAAGAGGAACCCUGGAUGUACGCUGUCUGCACUACCAUUGUAUCACCAGUGUGAAAGGCUGCUCUGUCUCUCAAUCCAAUCACAGCACAGAUAGAUAAGGCGAGAACAAUGGAGUGUGAACGAUGGACUGCGAACACUGCCACUGCGAUCGUUCAGACUGCAGCCAAGUUAGAGACGCGAGAUAGACAAGCUAACGAAGAAACAGGUGAUGGAAGAGAGAGAGAGAGAGAGAGAGAGAGAGAGAGAGAGAGAGAGAGAGAGAG